rnacentral:rRNA from 1 species
CUACGGGAUGCAGCAGUGGGGAAUUUUGGACAAUGGGCGAAAGCCUGAUCCAGCCAUUCCGCGUGAGUGAUGAAGGCCUUCGGGUUGUAAAGCUCUUUCGGCCGGGAAGAAAUCGUGCAGGCUAAUAUCCUGCAUGGAUGACGGUACCGGACCAAGAAGCACCGGCUAACUACGUGCCAGCAGCCGCGGUAAUACGUAGGGUGCGAGCGUUAAUCGGAAUUACUGGGCGUAAAGCGUGCGCAGGCGGAUGUUUAAGCCAGAUGUGAAAUCCCCGGGCUUAACCUGGGAAUGGCAUUUGGAACUGGACAUCUAGAGUGUGUCAGAGGGGGGUGGAAUUCCACGUGUAGCAGUGAAAUGCGUAGAGAUGUGGAGGAACACCGAUGGCGAAGGCAGCCCCCUGGGAUAACACUGACGCUCAUGCACGAAAGCGUGGGGAGCAAACAGGAUUAGAUACCCGAGUAGUC